AUUUUAGUAUAAGUAUGUCCCAUUCCAUAUUUGGGAUCUACUUAUAUUAAAA
rnacentral:pre_miRNA from 1 species